AAGUUACUUGACAGGUCCAAUAUCCGGCUGGAGUCUUCUACUGGCUUGAAGCAAGCAAGAGUUCUGAGUGUUUUUGUCCAGAAAAACUUGGCUUGAGAUAACUUUUGGCAGUGCUCAAAGUUGAGUAACUAGGACAUAAAAGCAGGGCUGCUCAAAAGACAGCCAAUGAGCCCAGCCUCCUGCCUUGGGCAAUGUAUGUCCUAGUCAGAGUCCUUCUCAAGAAUUCAUGUCAUCAGAAGGGGGCUUAACUCAAGGGUUUGGACAGUGGCUCCAUCUCAGAAGCAUACAGGUAUUUAACACUUCAUUUCCCCUCCAUUGUUCCCUCUUCUCCCACUGGGCAACCCAGUAUAGUUCCCUGGAGUGAGGAGGGAAAGGGGCCCUCAGACUCACUAUGUAGCCUCAAAGUCUUUUGCCCUAUUAUGUACAUUGACUUUUACAGUUAAAAAGCUUAGAGUAUGAAUUUUAAAUUAUAUAAUUGUACUGUAACAACAUUUUUUUUGAGGCAGUGAAUAUCUCAUGGCCUAUUUUGCAUGUUAAGAGCCACAGGGUCAUAAAUAAAGCCUUACUGGGAGCUUGGGAGCA
ensembl:lncRNA